UGUAUUUUGAAUUGUGCUUCUUUAUCAUUUAUCCUGAAUUUCAGCUCAUUCAGCUCCAUAUCUAUGAUCACUUUCUAAGUUGCAUGGAAUGGUUUGCCCAAGAUGAUGGGCACUUCAAAUCCACCUCACAGUCUAGGACUAGAAAAUCAGUAGGCAGAAUAAAGUCAACCACCUUUACCAAUACAUCAUGUAAUAUGCUUACUGGCC
rnacentral:lncRNA from 1 species